rnacentral:rRNA from 1 species
AUUGAACGCUGGCGGCAUGCCUUACACAUGCAAGUCGAACGGGAACGCGGGGCAACCUGGCGACGAGUGGCGAACGGGUGAGUAAUGUAUCGGAACGUGCCCAGUUGUGGGGGAUAACUGCUCGAAAGAGCAGCUAAUACCGCAUACGACCUGAGGGUGAAAGCGGGGGAUCGCAAGACCUCGCGCAAUUGGAGCGGCCGAUAUCAGAUUAGGUAGUUGGUGGGGUAAAGGCUCACCAAGCCGACGAUCUGUAGCUGGUCUGAGAGGACGACCAGCCACACUGGGACUGAAACACGGCCCAGACUCCUACGAAAGACAGCAGUGGGGAAUUUUGGACAAUGGACGCAAGUCUGAUCCAGCCAUGCCGCGUGCGGGAAGAAGGCCUUCGGGUUGUAAACCGCUCUUGUCAGGGAAGAAACGCUCUGGGUUAAUACCUCGGGGUAAUGACGGUACCUGAAGAAUAAGCACCGGCUAACUACGUGCCAGCCGCCGCAGUAACAC